rnacentral:rRNA from 1 species
GUAGGGAGCAAGCGUUGUCCGGAUUUAUUGGGCGUAAAGCGCGCGUAGGCGGUUCGGUAAGUCGGGUGUGAAAACUCCAAGCUCAACUUGGAGCCUGCAUUCGAAACUGCUGUGACUAGAGUCAGGUAGGGGAACACGGAAUUCCAGGUGUAGCGGUGAAAUGCUUAGAUAUCUGGAGGAACACCAGUGGCGAAGGCGGUGUUCUGGGCCUGUACUGACGCUGAUGCGCGAAAGCGUGGGGAGCGAACAGGAUUAGAUACCCUGGUAGUCCACGCCGUAAACGUUGCACACUAGGUGUGGGGACCUAUCGACGGUUUCCGUGCCGUAGCUAACGCAUUAAGUGUGCCGCCUGGGGAGUACGGUCGCAAGACUA